CUACGGGGUGCUGCAGUGGGGAAUAUUGGACAAUGGGGGAAACCCUGAUCCAGCAAUGCCGCGUGUGUGAAGAAGGCCUGCGGGUUGUAAAGCACUUUCGGUUGGGAGGACUGCUUCUAGCACUAAUAUUGUUGGAAGUUGACGUUACCUUCAGAAGAAGCACCGGCUAACUCCGUGCCAGCAGCCGCGGUAAUACGGAGGGUGCAGCGUUAAUCGGAAUUACUGGGCGUAAAGCGCGCGUAGGCGGCUAGAUCAGUCGGGUGUGAAAGCCCCGGGCUUAACCGGGGAACUGCAUCCGAUACUGUCUAGCUUGAGUACAGGAGAGGAGAGUGGAAUUCCACAUGUAGCGGUGAAAUGCGUAGAUAUGUGGAGGAACACCAAUGGCGAAGGCAGCUCUCUGGCCUGAUACUGACGCUGAGGUGCGAAAGCGUGGGGAGCAAACAGGAUUAGAUACCCUUGUAGUC
rnacentral:rRNA from 1 species